rnacentral:rRNA from 1 species
GACGAACGCUGGCGGUGCGCCUUAUGCAUGCAAGUUGAGCGAAGCUUUUCAGUAGUUUACUACAGAAAAUGACUGAGCGGCGAACGGGUGAGUAACGCGUGAGCAAUCUACCUUAGUUACUGGGAUAGCCCGAGGAAACUCGGAUUAAUACCGGAUAUUCUUAUUUUUUCACAUGAAGUUUUAAGGAAAGGUCAGCCGAACUAAGAUGAGCUCGCGUUCUAUCAGCUAGUUGGUGGGGUAAAAGCCUACCAAGGCUACGACGGAUAGCUGGUCUGAGAGGACGAUCAGCCACACUGGGACUGAGACACGGCCCAGACUCCUACGGGAGGCUGCAGCAGGGAAUAUUGCGCAAUGAGCGAAAGCUUGACGCAGCGACACCGCGUGUGGGAUGACGGUUCUAGGAUUGUAAACCACUUUCAGGAGGGAAGAAAAUGACGGUACCUCCACAAGAAGACCCGGCCAACUACGUG